AGGUUGGUGCAAAAGUAAUUGCAGUUUUUGCCAUUACUUUUAAUAACAAAAACUGCAAUUACUUUUCCACCAAUGUAAUA
ensembl:miRNA